CCCCAGCGGCUCCUUCAGCCCCUGAGAACCUUAACCCCCCUGUUGUGAGACAAAAAGAAAAGCUGGCGUCAGGCAUGAUACAUACUUUUGAACCACAGAAAGCCUCAGUUCACUCAUGGACUUGCUAUGUGGCCUUGGGUGGUACCUUGCCCUCUCUGAGCCACAGAUUCCCAGGCUGAAAGAUGCUGAUAGGAAUCCUCACCCUGCCUGGCUCUCACAGGGGAUUCAAAAGUACCCAGGAGAUGGUGCAAGAACUCCAUAACCGGUCAAGGCCAGAAUAGUUCUGAAAUUCUGUGUGUGAUGCUAAUAGCUGUGCUGGCAACGGACACUGGGCGAUCUCACUUUGUUGCCCUCUGUAGUCGUGGAGUGCAGAAGAUUGGGAGGUGGCAAGACCCCCACAGCCUGGGAGAUGUGUUCAAGGAACGACCCCCAAACUGCUUCUCCUCCCUGCCUAAAACUAUAGUUCUUUCUUCUUGCUCCCUCUGCCAGAAGUCACAUAGCUUCUGUGUACUUUCCUAUAUGUUGCCAAAAACACAUAGCCUUCUCUCCAUAAGUUAAUCUUUACCCCAUAUACUAUUACUGCCCCUCAGCCUUGUAAGAUGAAAGUAUUCCCACUUGCUUUCUCUGCUCAUUUGCAACAUUGUUAGUAUAGCAACCUAGUUUAGGUACUAUAUAAAUAAAGCUGUUCACAGGGUCUGGUGCUGGCUGCAGCCAUUAGCUCUUCCAGACCUCCUGGCCCCAUCACUUUCAUCUUUUGUGUGAUCUUUCUCCCUUGUGUGUCUUAUUUUCUCAUUCCCCACCAUUCCCACUAUGAUUUGUUUAUUCUUCACCCUGGCUUGGGAAAGGUAGAGUGCUGUGGCAUCACAGCUCACAGCAACCCCAAACUCUUGGGCUCAAGUGAUUCUCUUGCCUUAGCCUCCCAAGUAGCUGGGACUGGACUACAGGCGCCCACCAAAACGCCCAGCUAUUUUUAGAGACAAGGUCUCACUCUGGCUCAGGCUGGUCUCCAACUUGUGAGCUCAGGCAAUCUGCCUGCCUCGGCCUCCCAGAGUGCUGGGAUUACAGGUGUGUGCCACCGUGCCUGGCCAGCAAUUAUUCUUUGUUGAGCAUGAUGUUUGUGCCCAUCCUUUUUGGCAAGUUGGUUACUUUGUUCCUGAGGUGUCAUGAACCCAGGUCUAACUCUAAAGCCCUCACCAGAAGGGAAGGGUCUUGAACUGUGCACAGUACAUUGGUCCUUGCUAAGUGGAAAUGACUGGGCAUCCCCAACAUAAGGACCCAGCCCAGCCCCCAGCCCUGGCA